rnacentral:rRNA from 1 species
CCUACGGGUGGCAGCAGUGGGGAAUAUUGCGCAAUGGGCGAAAGCCUGACGCAGCGACGCCGCGUGCGGGAUGAAGGUCUUCGGAUCGUAAACCUCUGUCAGCAGGGAAGAACGGUCACUGUGCUAAUCAGCAGUGACUUGACGGUACCUGCAAAGGAAGCACCGGCUAACUCCGUGCCAGCAGCCGCGGUAAUACGGCGGGUGCGAGCGUUAAUCGGAAUUACUGGGCGUAAAGCGCUCGUAGGCGGUAUGUCAAGUCAAGGGGGAAAUCCCCGCGCUCAACGUGGGAACUGCCUUUGAAACUGGCAAACUGGAGUGUGUGAGAGGAUAGUGGAAUUCCAGGUGUAGGAGUGAAAUCCGUAGAUAUCUGGAGGAACAUCAGUGGCGAAGGCGACUAUCUGGCACAUAACUGACGCUGGGGAGCGAAAGCGUGGGUAGCAAACAGGAUUAGAUACCCGGGUAGUC